GACGAACGCUGGCGGCGUGCUUAACACAUGCAAGUCGAGCGAUGAAGCUCCUUCGGGAGUGGAUUAGCGACGGACGGGUGAGUAACACGUGGGUAACCUGCCUCAUAGAGGGGAAUAGCCUUUCGAAAGGAAGAUUAAUACCGCAUAAGAUUGUAGCUUCGCAUGAAGCAGCAAUUAAAGGAGUAAUCCGCUAUGAGAUGGACCCGCGUCGCAUUAGCUAGUUGGUGAGGUAACGGCUCACCAAGGCGACGAUGCGUAGCCGACCUGGAAGGGUGAUCGGCCACAUUGGGACUGAGAAACGGCCCAGACUCCUACGGGAGGCAGCAGUGGGGAAUAUUGCACAAUGGGGGAAACCCUGAUGCAGCAACGCCGCGUGAGUGAUGACGGUCUUCGGAUUGUAAAGCUCUGUCUUCAGGGACGAUAAUGACGGUACCUGAGGAGGAAGCCACGGCUAACUACGUGCCAGCAGCCGCGGUAA
rnacentral:rRNA from 1 species